rnacentral:rRNA from 1 species
GACGACGCAUUUCCUCUCGUUCGGGGACGCCGCAGCCGGUCGGAUCCGAGUGUGUCCCGAGGUUUCGGUCGGCAGCGGUCCUUCUCCGUGAGACCCGCUCGGCGAGAAGGCUUGCGGCGGUUUCGUCGGCGGCCCACCCUGCCCGUCUUGAAACACGGACCAAGGAGUCUAACUUGUGCGCGAGUCGAAGGGACUUGAACAGGCCCCGAGGCGAAAGGAAAGUGAGCCGUCGCCUCCGAGGGGCCGGUGGGAGGCCGCUGCGCUAGAGCGCACACGUUGGGACCCGAAAGAUGGUGAGCUAUGCCCGGCCAGGGCGAAGUCAGAGGAAACUCUGGUGGAGGCUCGCAGCGCUUCUGACGUGCAAAUCGAUUGCCAGAGCCGGGUAUAGGGGCGAAAGACCAAUCGAACCAUCUAGUAGCUGGUUCCCUCCGAAGUUUCCCUCAGGAUAGCUGGCGCUCUUGUAGUCUCACGC